rnacentral:misc_RNA from 1 species
GAAAACUCCUUAGAGUUGUCCCUCGGGCUUUUUGAAUGCGGGGAGAGCUGAGAAGGGAGGAGUUGUCUGGUCACGGUCUUCGAAAAAUAGUUUCAGUGCUGACGUGGCAGGAGAGACGUAUUCAGUCAACGGUCAUAUUCUAGUUCCAGACAUGCUUGUAUUUUAAUGUUUUUUCUGUUAUCUUUGGUCUGGAAUAGGGUAGCCCCCACGAGGAAUAACGCUUACGUGUUUAGCUUUCUUUUUCUGUUUGGAUCGUACGAAAAUG